CUACGGGUUGCUCCAGUGGGGGAUAUUGCACAAUGGGGGGAACCCUGAUGCAGCGACGCCGCGUGAGCGAAGAAGUGCUUCGGCAUGUAAAGCUCUAUCAGCAGGGAAGAAAAUGACGGUACCUGACUAAGAAGCCCCGGCUAACUACGUGCCAGCAGCCGCGGUAAUACGUAGGGGGCAAGCGUUAUCCGGAUUUACUGGGUGUAAAGGGAGCGUAGACGGCAUCGCAAGUCUGAUGUGAAAACCCGCGGCUCAACCACGGGAUUGCAUUGGAAACUGCGGAGCUUGAGUACUGGAGGGGCAGGCGGAAUUCCUGGUGUAGCGGUGGAAUGCGUAGAUAUCAGGAGGAACACCGGUGGCGAAGGCGGCCUGCUGGACAGUAACUGACGUUGAGGCUCGAAAGCGUGGGGAGCAAACAGGAUUAGAUACCCCCGUAGUC
rnacentral:rRNA from 1 species